rnacentral:rRNA from 1 species
AUAGCGUAUAUUAAAGUUGUAGCAGUUAAAAAGCUCGUAGUUGAACCUUGGGCCUGGCUGGCCGGUCCGCCUCACCGCGUGUACUGGUCCGGCCGGGCCUUUCCUUCUGGGGAACCUCAUGCCCUUCACUGGGCGUGUUGGGGAACCAGGACUUUUACUUUGAAAAAAUUAGAGUGUUCAAAGCAGGCCUUUGCUCGAAUACAUUAGCAUGGAAUAAUAGAAUAGGACGUGUGGUUCUAUUUUGUUGGUUUCUAGGACCGCCGUAAUGAUUAAUAGGGAUAGUCGGGGGCAUCAGUAUUCAAUCGUCAGAGGUGAAAUUCUUGGAUUGAUUGAAGACUAACUACUGCGAAAGCAUUUGCCAAGGAUGUUUUCAUUAAUCAGUGAACGAAAGUUAGGGGAUCGAAGACGAUCAGAUACCGUCGUAGUCUUAACCAUAAACUAUGCCGACUAGGGAUCGGACGGUGUUAGU